rnacentral:tRNA from 1 species
GCCCUGGUAGCUCAGUGGUAAGCUUCCUGGGUCGCUAAAGAGCGUUCGCUUGGUAAGCGAAAGGUCGCGAGUUCAAUGAGCGCAUGAAGCAGAUUUCAUCUGCUUCCGUUUGCAAUCCUCGCCCAGGGCU